rnacentral:rRNA from 1 species
GACGAACGCUGGCGGUGUGCUUAACACAUGCAAGUCGAACGGUAAGGCCCUUUCGGGGGUACACGAGUGGCGAACGGGUGAGUAACACGUGAGUAACCUGCCCUCAUCUCUGGGAUAACAGUCGGAAACGGUUGCUAAUACUGGAUAUGAGCUUGCAAGGCAUCUUGUGGGUUGGAAAGAUUUUUUUUGGUUGGGGAUGGACUCGCGGCCUAUCAGCUUGUUGGUGAGGUAGUGGCUCACCAAGGCUUCGACGGGUAGCCGGCCUGAGAGGGCGACCGGCCACAUUGGGACUGAGAUACGGCCCAAACUCCUACGGGAGGCAGCAGUGGGGAAUAUUGCACAAUGGACGGAAGGCUGAUGCAGCAACGCCGCGUGCGGGAUGACGGCCUUCGGGUUGUAAACCGCUUUCAAUUGUGACGAAGCUUUUUUGUGACGGUAGCAGUAGAAGAAGCACCGGCUAACUACGUG